rnacentral:rRNA from 1 species
CACGUAGGGGCCAAGCGUUGUCCGGAUUUAUUGGGCGUAAAGAGCUCGUAGGCGGUUGGGUAAGUCUGGUGUGAAAACUCCGGGCUCAACUCGGAGACGCCACCCGAUACUGCUCUGACUUGAGUCCGGUAGGGGAGUGGGGAAUUCCUGGUGUAGCGGUGAAAUGCGCAGAUAUCAGGAGGAACACCGGUGGCGAAGGCGCCACUCUGGGCCGGAACUGACGCUGAGGAGCGAAAGCGUGGGUAGCAAACAGG